GGAGAGAGAGCGAGAAAGAGAUUCUCACACUGGCUGUGUCCUAAUCCGAGUCCAUCUCCAAGAAGCAGCGGAGCAGAGUGUUGGUGAACUCGAGGUGCUGGUGGAGGUGCUGGUGUGGUGGGGGGGCACCGCCAGGGCAGAGCAGGGGCUCCGGAGGGGAGAAGAAAAAGAAGAAGAAGAGGAGGAGGAGGAGGAGGAGGAGGAGGAGGGAGACAAAGUGGAUCAGAUCAACAUCAGCACACUGAAUGCUGGAAAUGCCCGUCAGGUCUGAGUCCGCCACUUCCUCAACCAAUCAGAGCCUUCGUUAACAGCGGCGUCGGCACUUGAUUGGGAGAAGGAUGGCAACCAUGCCGUUUGUCAGCGAGGGGAAGUGUGUGAGUGUGGAGUGGGAUUUCCUACAAGGACUACUGGCCAAGCCUCCCACCCU